rnacentral:hammerhead_ribozyme from 1 species
GUACUACUGAAGAGUUCCAAACUGGGACGAAACAGCUGUCCAGUAC